UACGAAGGGGGCUAGCGUUGCUCGGAUUGACUGGGCGUAAAGGGCGCGUAGGCGGUCAGCACAAUUCAGUUGUGAAAUCUCCGGGCUUAACUCGGAAAGGUCAACUGAUACUGUGCGACUAGAGUGCAGAAGGGGCAACUGGAAUUCUCGGUGUAGCGGUGAAAUGCGUAGAUAUCGAGAGGAACACCUGCGGCGAAGGCGGGUUGCUGGGCUGACACUGACGCUGAUGCGCGAAAGCCAGGGGAGCGAACAGG
rnacentral:rRNA from 1 species